rnacentral:rRNA from 1 species
UACGAAGGGGGCUAGCGUUGUUCGGAAUUACUGGGCGUAAAGCGCACGUAGGCGGAUAUUUAAGUCAGGGGUGAAAUCCCAGAGCUCAACUCUGGAACUGCCUUUGAUACUGGGUAUCUUGAGUAUGGAAGAGGUAAGUGGAAUUGCGAGUGUAGAGGUGAAAUUCGUAGAUAUUCGCAGGAACACCAGUGGCGAAGGCGGCUUACUGGUCCAUAACUGACGCUGAGGUGCGAAAGCGUGGGGAGCAAACAG